rnacentral:rRNA from 1 species
GAUGAACGCUCGCGGCAGGCCUAACACAUGCAAGUCGAGGGAGAAGCCCUUUCGGGGGCAGAAACCGGCGCACGGGUGCGUAACGCGUAUGCAACCUACCUUUCACAGGGGGAUAGCCCGAAGAAAUUUGGAUUAAUACCCCAUAAUAUUAUUGGAUGGCAUCAUUUGAUAAUUAAAACUGCGGUGGUGAAAGAUGGGCAUGCGUCCUAUUAGCUAGUUGGAGUGGUAACGGCACCCCAAGGCUACGAUAGGUAGGGGUCCUGAGAGGGAGAUCCCCCACACUGGUACUGAGACAGGGACCAGACUCCUACGGGAGGCAGCAGUGAGGAGUAUUGGUCAAUGGUCGGAAGACUGAACCAGCCAUGCCGCGUGCAGGAAGAAUGCCUUAUGGGUUGUAAACUGCUUUUAUAUGGGAAGAAUAAGGUGUACGUGUACAUUGAUGACGGUACCAGAUGAAUAAGCAUCGGCUAACUCCGUG